ACCUCGAUGUCGGCUCAUCGCAUCCUGGGGCUGGAGAAGGUCCCAAGGGUUAGGCUGUUCGCCUAUUAAAGCGGUACGCGAGCUGGGUUCAGAACGUCGCGAGACAGUUCGGUCUCCUAUCCGCUACGGGCGUGGAAACUUGAGGGUACGCUUCUCUAGUACGAGAGGACCGAGAAGCACGAACCUCUGGUGUACCAGUUGUUCUGCCAAGGGCAUUGCUGGGUAGCUACGUUCGGUGGGGAUAAGCGCUGAAAGCAUAUAAGCGCGAAGCUCCAUCCAAGAUUAGGUUUCAUAGACUCCAGGGAGACUACCUGGUUGAUAGGCGGCAGGUGUAAGGCCAGCAAUGGUUUCAGCCGAGCCGUACUAAUAAGUCAUUC
rnacentral:rRNA from 1 species